rnacentral:rRNA from 1 species
GAUGAACGCUGGCGGCGUGCCUAAUACAUGCAAGUCGAACGAAACUUCUUUAUCACCGAGUGCUUGCACUCACCGAUAAAGAGUUGAGUGGCGAACGGGUGAGUAACACGUGGGCAACCUGCCCAAAAGAGGGGGAUAACACUUGGAAACAGGUGCUAAUACCGCAUAACCAUAGUUACCGCAUGUUAACUAUGUAAAAGGUGGCUAUACUACCGCUUUUGGAUGGGCCAGCGGCGCAUUAGCUAGUUGGUAGGGUAAAGGCUUACCAAGGCAAUGAUGCGUAGCCGAAUUGAGAGGGUGAUCGGCCACAUUGGGACUGAGACACGGCCCAAACUCCUACGGGAGGCAGCAGUAGGGAAUAUUCCACAAUGGGCGAAAGCCUGAUGGAGCAAAGCCGCGUGGGUGAAGAAGGUCUUCGGAUCGUAAAACCCUGUUGUUAGAGAAGAAAGUGAGUGAGAGUAACUGUUCACGUUUCGACGGUAUCUAAACAGAAAGCCACGGCUAACUACGUG